rnacentral:rRNA from 1 species
GAUCAUGGCUCAGGAUGAACGCUGGCGGCGUGCCUAAUACAUGCAAGUCGAACGCGGGCAGCAAUGCCCGAGUGGCGAACGGGUGAGUAAUACAUAAGUAACCUGCCCUUUACAGGGGGGAUAACUAUUGGAAACGAUAGCUAAGACCGCAUAGGUAAAGAUACCGCAUGGUAAGUUUAUUAAAAGUGCCAAGGCACUGGUAGAGGAUGGACUUAUGGCGCAUUAGCUAGUUGGUGAGGUAACGG